GACGUAGGAUGCAAGCGUUGUCCGGAUUUAUUGGGCGUAAAGAGUUCGUAGGUGGUUUGUUAAGUCUGAUGUUAAAGACUGGGGCUCAACCUCGGAAAUGCAUUGGAUACUGGCAGACUCGAGUGCAGUAGAGGCAAGCGGAAUUCCAGGUGUAGCGGUGAAAUGCGUAGAUAUCUGGAAGAACACCGGUGGCGCAAGCGGCUUGCUGGGCUGUAACUGACGCUGAGGAACGAAAGCUAGGGGAGCGAAUGGG
rnacentral:rRNA from 1 species